AGGAUGAACGCUGGCGGCGUGCCUAACACAUGCAAGUCGAACGUCCUGUCUCGCAAGAGGCAGGGAGUGGCGGACGGGUGAGUACCACGUGGGUCAUCUACCGUGAGGUGAGGAAUACCGGCGAGAAAUCGCCGACAAGACCGCAUAGGCUCGAUGCAAGUCGAGCAAAGCUCUUUCGAGAGAGGGAGCGCCACACGAGGAGCCUGCGCCCGAUUAGCUAGCUGGUGGAGUAACGGUUCACCAGGGCGACGAUCGGUAGCUGGUCUGAGAGGACGAUCAGCCACACUGGGAUUGAGAACGGCCCAGACUCCUACGGGGGGCAGCAGUGAGGAAUUUUCGUCAAUGGGGGCAACCCUGAACGAGCAACGCCGCGUGCAGGAAGAAGGUUUCGGAUCGUAAACUGCUUUUCUCGGGACGAGCAAGGACGGUACCCGAGGAAGACGCCCGGCUAACUACGUGCCAGCAGCCGC
rnacentral:rRNA from 1 species